rnacentral:rRNA from 1 species
UACAGAGGGUGCGAGCGUUAAUCGGAAUUACUGGGCGUAAAGCGCGCGUAGGCGGCUUUGCAAGUCGGGUGUGAAAUCCCCAGGCUUAACCUGGGAACUGCAUUCGAGACUGCAUUGCUAGAGUAUGGGAGAGGGAAGUGGAAUUUCCGGUGUAGCGGUGAAAUGCGUAGAUAUCGGAAGGAACAUCAGUGGCGAAAGCGACUUCCUGGACCAAUACUGACGCUCAUGUGCGAAAGCGUGGGGAGCAAACAUG